rnacentral:rRNA from 1 species
UACGUAGGGUGCAAGCGUUGUCCGGAAUUAUUGGGCGUAAAGAGCUCGUAGGCGGUUCGUCGCGUCGGCUGUGAAAUCCCGAGGCUCAACCUCGGGUCUGCAGUCGAUACGGGCGGACUGGAGUUCGGCAGGGGAGACUGGAAUUCCUGGUGUAGCGGUGAAAUGCGCAGAUAUCAGGAGGAACACCGGUGGCGAAGGCGGGUCUCUGGGCCGAUACUGACGUGAGGAGCGAAAGCGUGGGGAGCGAACGGGGA